rnacentral:rRNA from 1 species
UAGGGAAUCUUCCACAAUGGACGCAAGUCUGAUGGAGCAACGCCGCGUGAGUGAAGAAGGCUUUCGGGUCGUAAAACUCUGUUAUUGAAGAAGAACGUGUGUGACAGUAACUGGUCAUGCAGUGACGGUAUUCAAUCAGAAAGUCACGGCUAACUACGUGCCAGCAGCCGCGGUAAUACGUAGGUGGCAAGCGUUGUCCGGAUUUAUUGGGCGUAAAGCGAGGUGCAGG